CCUACGGGCGACAGCAGUCGAGAAUCAUUCACAAUGGGGGAAACCCUGAUGGUGCGACGCCGCGUGGGGGAAUGAAGGUCUUCGGAUUGUAAACCCCUGUCAUGUGGGAGCAAAUUAAAAAGAUAGUACCACAAGAGGAAGAGACGGCUAACUCUGUGCCAGCAGCCGCGGUAAUACAGAGGUCUCAAGCGUUGUCCGGAAUCACGGGGCGUAAGGCGUGCGUAGGCUGUUUCGUAAGUCGUGUGUGAAAGGCGCGGGCUCAACCCGCGGACGGCACAUGAUACUGCGAGACUAGAGUAAUGGAGGGGGAAACGGAAUUCUCGGUGUAGCAGUGAAAUGCGUAGAUAUCGAGAGGAACACUCGUGGCGAAGGCGGGUUCCUGGACAUCAACUGACGCUGAGGCACGAAGGCCAGGGGAGCGAAAGGGAUUAGAUACCCGGGUAGUC
rnacentral:rRNA from 1 species